UGCCAGAGUUUAUAGAGCUCUGAGACAGAGAGCUGAACACUGGAUGACUGACCCCCGUCCUUCAUCACGACCAGACACCAAGAUCCUCCUCAUCAGCACCAUGCGUCUGAUCUCCGUCCUCAUCUGGACUCUGCUCUGCAGCUGCUUCACAGUGUCCAGAGGUCAGGUCACAGUGACUCAACCUGCAGCAGUGAGAACCACAGUGGGACAAACCGUCAGCAUCAGCUGUAGAAUCACCCCAAAGGUUCACACCGGAAUUUACCAUGACCAGGCUUGGUACCAAGAGAAAAACGGAAAAGCUGCUACACUGCUUAUUUAUGGGUCUGUUCAUAAAGCGUCAUGGGCUCCAGAUCGUUUUUCAGGCACAGGAUCAAACUCUGACUUCACUCUGACCAUCAGAAGCGUCCAGGCUGAAGAUACAGCAGUUUAUUACUGUCAGAGCAACCAUUACAUCAACAACCAGCAUCUGUUGACACGGUGAAAAAGCGUCGUACAAAAACCUCCUUCAGCUGCAGAGGAACUGAUGCGAGUCACACUGGUGUAAGUAGUGGUAAACACGUUCAUGUGUAGUUUAAGUAGAAUGACAGAGC